ACCAGUGUAGCGUAGGGGUUUGAGUGUAGGACUAUGAUUCUAGAGACCAGGGUUUGAUUCCCAGCUCCGUCA
rnacentral:tRNA from 1 species